rnacentral:rRNA from 1 species
UGGAAUCUGCCGUCGGGUCGGGGACAACUCCGGGAAACUGGAGCUAAUACCGGAUGAGACCACGAGAUCUCCGGAUCUUGCGGACAAAGAUGGCCUCUGCUUGCAAGCUAUCGCCCGACGAUGAGCCCGCGUCCCAUUAGCUUGUUGGUGAGGUAACGGCUCACCAAGGCGACGACGGGUAGCUGGUCUGAGAGGAUGAUCAGCCACACUGGAACUGAGACACGGUCCAGACUCCUACGGGAGGCAGCAGUCGGGAAUUUUUGGGCAAUGGGCGAAAGCCUGACCCAGCAACGCCGCGUGAGGGAUGAAGGCCUUCGGGUCGUAAACCUCUGUCGGGAGGGAAGAAUGUCUUCGGGGUGAACAAUCCCGAAGGCUGACGGUACCUCCAAAGGAAGCGCCGGCUAACUCCGUG